GCACAAUGGGGACCAUUCAUGAGGCCAGCCAGGGAAGUGAUCAAGUGGCAGCUUUCAGCCAGUUCAGCUCUUCAGAUUGCCUCAAAGGAUGAAGAACCCCACCCUCCAAACCUCAGGAUGGAAGCCGGACUUGCAUUUGCUCUGAGGCCUAUAAAUCCUUUGAACUGCCUCCUCUGGCCUCAGACCUCCUCCCACUCCCCAUCAUUGCCAUGGAGAAAUGGAAAUUCUUUUGUGGAUAUCACAAUACAGAAAUUUAUACCA